GGAAUAUUGGGCAAUGGAGGAAACUCUGACCCAGCGACGCCGCGUGAGGGAUGAAGGCCUUCGGGUUGUAAACCUCUUUCAGUAGGGAAGAAGCGAAAGUGACGGUACCUACAGAAGAAGCACCGGCUAACUAUGUGCCAGCAGCCGCGGUAAUACAUAGGGUGCAAGCGUUGUCCGGAAUUAUUGGGCGUAAAGAGCUCGUAGGUGGUUCGAUACGUCGGAUGUGAAAAUCAGGGGCUCAACCCCUGACCUGCAUCCGAUACGGUCGAGCUAGAGUUUGGUAGGGGAGACUGGAAUUCCUGGUGUAGCGGUGGAAUGCGCAGAUAUCAGGAGGAACACCGAUGGCGAAGGCAGGUCUCUGGGCCAAUACUGACACUGAGGAGCGAAAGCGUGGGGAGCGAACAGGAUUAGAUACCCUGGUAGUCCACGCCGUAAACGGUGGGCGCUAGUUGUGCGAACCUUCCACGGUUUGUGCGACGCAGCUAACGCAUUAAGCGCCCCGCCUGGGGAGUACGAUCGCAAGAUUAAAACUCAAAGGAAUUGACGG
rnacentral:rRNA from 1 species